GCAGUGGUGCUUCAGUGGUAGAAUUCCAGCCUUCCUUGCGGGAGACCUGGGUUCGAGUCCUGGCCAAGGCA
rnacentral:tRNA from 1 species